ensembl:lncRNA
GUUCUGUGCCAGGAGAUAUCUAGAAAAGAUUUCUUUAGUUCUCUGUGUGUAAGACUUAUCUGAUCUGUUAUCUCUUGUAACUUAAUAAGAGACACAGAUGAUGGAAGGGAUUUCAUAAGACCUUAGAGUUCAACCCAUACUUAUCAUCUAGGAGGACUUUGAACAUGUUUAAGGUGCUUCUCAGCCAUUCGAGAUUCUUCUGCUGUGAAUUAUCAGCUGGGGACCGAACCCAGGGCCUUGCGCUCUACCGCUGCAGAACUCUAUAAUUUUAAUGUAAGUAUAUGGGUGCCAAAAAAUUACACAAAAUAAUCACAAAGUCUAUUUUAAUGAUUAUGUAACUUUUAAUGAAGGGAUUUGAGUAUGUACAUGGUUGUUAGAAUUUUUAUAUGACUAUUGGAUUUCUUGCUUUAACUGUAAUGGUACAUGCCCUAAUAUAACACUUGUCAUAAAAUCAUGGUAAAUUAGGGGAAUUAUUUUUUUAUAGGAAUGUAUUUCUGUUCAGAAAAUAUUUGUAGAUAAGCCACUGUUCUAGGUUAUGUCAUAGCUUGGAGCUACUAUAGAAUAGAGUCUGUUCUAUACCAGUAGGUUUGAUUGAGUAUUGUGAGAGUUUAACAACACUGAAGAGUUGUGAAUAGAGGUUAUAAAGGAUUCAGGAAUGAAAAUUGUGAAGCAUAAUUUCA